ACGAACGCUGGCGGCGUGCCUAAUACAUGCAAGUCGAACGCUUCUUUUUCCAUCGGAGCUUGCUCCACCGGAAAAAGAGGAGUGGCGAACGGGUGAGUAACACGUGGGUAACCUGCCCAUCAGAAGGGGAUAACACUUGGAAACAGGUGCUAAUACCGUAUAACAAUCGAAACCGCAUGGUUUUGAUUUGAAAGGCGCUUUCGGGUGUCGCUGAUGGAUGGACCCGCGGUGCAUUAGCUAGUUGGUGAGGUAACGGCUCACCAAGGCGACGAUGCAUAGCCGACCUGAGAGGGUGAUCGGCCACAUUGGGACUGAGACACGGCCCAAACUCCUACGGGAGGCAGCAGUAGGGAAUCUUCGGCAAUGGACGAAAGUCUGACCGAGCAACGCCGCGUGAGUGAAGAAGGUUUUCGGAUCGUAAAACUCUGUUGUUAGAGAAGAACAAGGAUGAGAGUAACUGUUCAUCCCUUGACGGUAUCUAACCAGAAAGCCACGGCUAACUACGUGCCAGCAGCCGCGGUAAUACGUAGGUGGCAAGCGUUGUCCGGAUUUAUUGGGCGUAAAGCGAGCGCAGGCGGUUUCUUAAGUCUGAUGUGAAAGCCCCCGGCUCAACCGGGGAGGGUCAUUGGAAACUGGGAGACUUGAGUGCAGAAGAGGAGAGUGGAAUUCCAUGUGUAGCGGUGAAAUGCGUAGAUAUAUGGAGGAACACCAGUGGCGAAGGCGGCUCUCUGGUCUGUAACUGACGCUGAGGCUCGAAAGCGUGGGGAGCAAACAGGAUUAGAUACCCUGGUAGUCCACGCCGUAAACGAUGAGUGCUAAGUGUUGGAGGGUUUCCGCCCUUCAGUGCUGCAGCUAACGCAUUAAGCACUCCGCCUGGGGAGUACGACCGCAAGGUUGAAACUCAAAGGAAUUGACGGGGGCCCGCACAAGCGGUGGAGCAUGUGGUUUAAUUCGAAGCAACGCGAAGAACCUUACCAGGUCUUGACAUCCUUUGACCACUCUAGAGAUAGAGCUUCCCCUUCGGGGGCAAAGUGACAGGUGGUGCAUGGUUGUCGUCAGCUCGUGUCGUGAGAUGUUGGGUUAAGUCCCGCAACGAGCGCAACCCUUAUUGUUAGUUGCCAUCAUUUAGUUGGGCACUCUAGCAAGACUGCCGGUGACAAACCGGAGGAAGGUGGGGAUGACGUCAAAUCAUCAUGCCCCUUAUGACCUGGGCUACACACGUGCUACAAUGGGAAGUACAACGAGUCGCAAAGUCGCGAGGCUAAGCUAAUCUCUUAAAGCUUCUCUCAGUUCGGAUUGUAGGCUGCAACUCGCCUACAUGAAGCCGGAAUCGCUAGUAAUCGCGGAUCAGCACGCCGCGGUGAAUACGUUCCCGGGCCUUGUACACACCGCCCGUCACACCACGAGAGUUUGUAACACCCGAAGUCGGUGUGGUAACCUUUUGGAGCCAGCCGCCUAAGGUGGGAUAGAUGAUUGGGGUG
rnacentral:rRNA from 1 species